GUUCGUCGAUUCCUUCGGUGUCCAUCAUCUCUGUUAUGAGGAUUUAAUUUUCGUUGUUUUAAUGAGGGUUUGUUGCUUAAUGUAUUGGAUCUCUUUCGGACGAUCAUCUCAUUUCAUCAUCGCCCUAGUCGUUGUUUUAUGUUAGUGCUAUCGUUUAAUGGGUUGUUUUUGCUGUAUGAUCUUGAAUGGAUGAGCCGGGUUAGUAUUGUCCAGUUGUUGAGGGUAUUGUUUAUUCUCGUUCUCUUUUUCUUUGUUUGCUUCGUGAAUUCUAGUUUUGACGAUGAUAUUUAAGGUACAAAAUGCGCCUGCUAUGAAUUUCUGAUCAAGUUGUUUGUUCGUGAAAUUCGAUUUAAGUUCUGCGUGAUUUUAUACGAAAUUUCUUUUCGCUGUCGACAUGUUCUCCAUUGGUUGGAUUCACAAGAAAACCUAAUUCGACAGGGAUAGUCAAGUUGUUGUUUCGUAUGCGUGGUUUUGGUUGAUUUCUAAUGCCCUCGGUGACGUUCAUGCUUUGCCUAAUUGUUCUUGUUAGUUGCCAUUUGUUACAGUUUUUGAAGCCGUAGAAUAUGUUGACAACGACUCAAUAUAAUACUCAACUUUAUGGCUCAUUUUGAAGAUUUGGCAGUCUUUGUGCUCGAUCAUAGAUCAUGCAUACGACUGGCGGUGCGUGUCCAAGAGCAGCUGUAGCAUCAUGUGAAGGAAUUCAGCAAUGUCAUCAUUAUAUGUAGUUUCUUUGGGGAACUUAAGACUCUCAAGAUCAUCAUUCAACUCCUUCACCAGUGCAUCCAGGUAUCUAGCUUCCCCUGUUGCAUGAGGCCUUGUCAUGGCACAGCCUGGUUGCUGGUUUGUAGAACACCAACUGGAAUAUCAAUUUUGAAAAUUUCUUGUGCUGUGUUGCGGAAAUGCUGAUUGUUAAUCAGAAGUUGCAUGAGGAAAUGUUCAUCCUUGCUUUUCCCUGUUGUUAUAAGGUUGUGGUUCUGAAUCUACACUGAUGGAAGCUUCUUGCUCUGGUAAAGCCUCCAAAGCUGAUUUUAUUAUGUCAUCAUCCUGGGAGAAAAAUGUAUGAGAUGCUAGCAGGCCAAUAAACAGAAUAUAGUGCAAAAGCUUCAUGGAGUUGUGUCCUGGCCAUAAUGAGGUUUUCAUAUUAUUCUAGCAAAAUGAAUUCACAAUGAAUCAGUCAAUUAAUCAGGCAAAAAAGAGAUAUUUUCAUCGCUCAGAGUCAAUGCAGAUCGACUUUGUUGCUUCAAUGAUUGGAGAGAGGAUAACUUACAUUGGUCUCCGCAACUGUCUCCUCUUCUAAUACUUCAUUGUCUUCGCCAGCAUCAACUGAAGAAUUAUCUGAAACCAAGUUGGAAAAUUUACAGGCUUCAUCAAUGUUUUCACCAGAAUUUGAGGCAGCUCUUUAUCAGUUCUUGAAUAUGUCUGUAAGAGCUUCGUAUCUUCAGAGUUCUUAUGUGAUGACGUUCUAUCCAAUUCAACAUAGGCAGAGGUCACCUUCUUGGUUUGAUUUGCUGAUAAGCUGGCGAACUGAUUCAGAUAUGUUUCUUCUCUCUUCUUCUUUUUCUGCCUUUUCUCUCAGUUGUACCAAAUUC